GCGACUCACUUUCCUUUAUAAAGAAGGAAAAAGAAAAUUGUAGAAAACACAAUACAAUCAUUAGUUAGUAGCCUCUUCAUAAAAUUAUUUAAGGCCACUAUCUUAGGGCGAAAAAUAUUGGCCUAUUUUUGCAAACCACCCUAAGAUAGUGGACUUAAAUAAUUUUAAACUCUAAAAGUAAAUGACAGCUAAAAUGAUUAAAUAUAUAGAAUACCACUCCAUCUUCGUCUUUCCAUUUGGCUGCAUGUUUUCAAGUUUUGGUGAAUCAUCUCCACUAUGAUUACUGCAGCUUAUGCUGAGAGGAACAUCGCAUAACCCUGUGUUUCCUAUAUAUGAAUCAUUCGAAAAUGUUGCAAACUGAUUACCACUUGGGAUCUUUCCCA
rnacentral:lncRNA from 1 species